rnacentral:misc_RNA from 1 species
AAGUCGUAACAAGGUUUCCGUAGGUGAACCUGCGGAAGGAUCAUCAAAAAAAAUUUUUGAUUUAUUUGACUGCACGCAAUGUGAGUAUAUGAUAUUUUUUGUGUAUGUAUAUUUGUGUAUGUAUAUGUAUAUUUGUAUAUGUAUAUUUGUAUAUGUAUAUGAAUAUAUGUAUAUGAAUAUAUGUAUAUGAAUAUAUGUACAAGUAUAUAUAUAUAUAUUACUUUAUAUAUACGUCAAAAAAUAUCAUCACAUAUAAUUUGAUAUAUUUCCCUCAAAAAACGAGGGAAAAAAAAAACCUUUAUUUUAUAUAUUCUUAGUCUGAUGUUAUCAAAAAGUAGAGAGAAUCACAACUUUUAGCAAUGGAUCUCUCGGCUCUU